AGCCGAAACAGCGGUCUGGUGCCGCUGUCUGUCGGGGACGACCUCCCGACACUGAUGAUGGCAGGUCUGA
rnacentral:hammerhead_ribozyme from 1 species